rnacentral:rRNA from 1 species
CCUACGGGAGGCAGCAGUGGGGAAUAUUGCACAAUGGGGGAAACCCUGAUGCAGCGACGUCGCGUGAGUGAUGAAGUAUUUCGGUAUGUAAAGCUCUAUCAGCAGGGAAGAAAAUGACGGUACCUGACUAAGAAGCCCCGGCUAACUACGUGCCAGCAGCCGCGGUAAUACGUAGGGGGCAAGCGUUAUCCGGAUUUACUGGGUGUAAAGGGAGCGUAGGAGGCGGUGCAAGCCAGAUGUGAAAGCGCGGGGCUCCACCCCGGGCAUGCAUUUGGAACUGUGCUGCUAGAGUGUCGGAGAGGCAGGCGGAAUUCCUAGUGUAGCGGUGAAAUGCGUAGAUAUUAGGAGGAACACCAGUGGCGAAGGCGGCCUGCUGGACGAUGACUGACGUUGAGGCUCGAAAGCGUGGGGAGCAAACAGGAUUAGAUACCCUUGUAGUC